AACACUUUGCUGGAAGUGUUGACCCUCUUGAGGCGGAUGAGUGGAGGAGCAGGUUGGCUCGUAACUUCAGCUCAAGCCGCUGCCCAGAGGACUACCAGAAGGACAUUGCGGUUCACUUCUUGGAGGGAGAUGCCCACAACUGGUGGUUGGCUCUUGACAAGCGCACCAAUGGUACCAUAGAGCGCUUUGAGGACUUUGAGGUUGAGUUCAACCACAAGUACUUCCCAGCUGAGGCAUGGGACCGUUUGGAAGCUAAGUUCCUGGACUUGGUUCAGGGACGCAGGACGGUACGUGAGUACGAAGAAGAGUUCAACCGACUCAGGCGCUAUGUGGGUAAGGAGUUGGAGGACGAGGCAGUUCAGGUUCGCCGGUUCAUCAGAGGCCUUAGGGCUGAACUCCGGACCUAUUGCUCAGUCCGUACCUUCUCCACUGUGUCUGAGCUGGUUGAGAGGAUGGCCUUGCUUGAGGUCAACCUUGCGGAUGAGCAUAAGCAGAAGGUCAAAAGUGUGGUGGUGGCUUCAAGCCAGAGUGGUGACCGGAAGAGGAAAAGGGACCAGGCUGAAGAGGGUAAAACCUCAAGUGGUAGGCCUGUGUGUCCCAAGUGUGGCCGACACCAUGGAGGUGAAUGUUGGAGAGCAAUGGGAGCUUGUCUUCGAUGUGGUAAGAUGGAUCACUCAGCUCGGGACUGUCCUAGACAGGAGCAAGGAGCUGGUGGUGAUACCAGGACUUGCCACUACUGUGGAAAGAAGGGACAUCUCCGUAAGGAUUGUCCCAAGUUAGCAGCCGGGUCGAGCAAGGGCCGUGGUGAGGGCAACAAGCCAGACCAGAACCGCGGUCAGACCUCUGCACCCCGCGUCUAUGAGCUGUCCAAGGAUGAGGACAAGGCUGGACCAUUCCUCGCGAUCACUGGUAAUGUGUCUGAUCUUAUUCUUUUCAAUUCAGUAGAAUUGCAUGGUAUGGAACCUAGGACGGUUAGAUACUUAGUUUGGGUCAUGUGUAGGGACCCUAAGUAUUGGUGGUGUGGAAACACAUGUACUUUUCGAUACUGGAGCUACACAUAGUUUUGUGAGUCCAGGGAUGCUCGGAAAGGGGUUGUUCCAGUUGGGAACGGGGGAUUGUCCUGGGGUAGUGAAUGCGGCCGGUGGGCAAGUGAUGCAUUCGCUAGGGGUGAUUCAGGACGUCCCAGUAAUGAUCCAGGACAGGGUCAUGCCUGUGGAUCUUGUGGUAGUCCACCUAAAGAAUCACGAGGUGAUCUUGGGUAUGGACUGGCUUGGAAAGUAUCGGGCCACUCUUGACUGUCACCGGGGGCGUGUGCUUUUUGAGAGUGGGUGUGGGGCUCCGAUCAGGUUCCAAGGUAUACGUCCGAUCUCUGGAUGCUUGGUGGUGUCAGCUAUCCAUGUUGAGAGGAUGCUGAGGAAGGGUUGUGAGGCUUAUCUGGCCACAAUCGCCACUAAGGAGGUCGUAGGGGGUGGUGACCCGGAGGGAAUACCGCUGGUUGGUGAGUUCCAGGAUGUGUUUAGGGCGCUACAGGGCAUUCCCCCUGAUAGGUUGGAUCCAUUCAUAAUAGAACUCGAACCAGGGACGGCCCCAUUAUCCAAAAGUCCCUACAGAAUGGCUCCUGCCGAGAUGGCCGAGCUUAAGAAGCAACUUGAAGAGUUGCUGGAUAAGGGUUUCAUACGGCCUAGUGUGUCACCCUGGGGAGCACCAGUCCUCUUUGUGAAGAAGAAGGAUGGUAGCUUCAGAUUGUGUAUUGACUAUCGAGGGUUAAACCGGGUGACUGUGAAGAACAAGUACCCAUUGCCUCGGAUAGAUGAGUUGUUGGAUCAGCUCAAGGGUGCAAAAUGGUUUUCUAAAAUCGAUUUGGCUUCAGGGUAUCAUCAGAUUCCCAUUGAACCAAAUGAUGUAAGGAAGACAGCCUUCCGAACCAGGUAUGGCCACUAUGAGUUUGUGGUCAUGCCAUUUGGAUUAACCAAUGCACCAGCAGCUUUCAUGAAGAUGAUGAACAGCAUAUUCAGGGAUUUCCUGGAUGAGUUUGUAAUCAUCUUCAUUGAUGAUAUCUUGGUCUACUCCAAGACCAAAGAGGAUCAUGAGAGACAUCUAAGAGCAGUGUUGGGACGAUUGAGGGAACAACAGCUCUAUGCCAAAUUGAGCAAGUGCAGUUUUUGGCAAAGAAGUGUUGGGUUCCUGGGUCACAUUGUAUCCGACCAAGGUGUCUCCGUGGACCCGGAAAAGAUUAAGGCCAUACAAGAAUGGCCUAGACCUAAGAGUGCAACUGAAGUCAGGAGCUUUCUAGGUCUGGCCGGUUAUUACAGGAAGUUUGUCAAGGGGUUUGCCAGCUUGGCUCAACCUAUGACACAACUGACUGGGAAAGACGUGAGGUUUGUAUGGUCUGAGAAAUGUGAGGAAUGUUUCUCUGCACUUAAGCACAUGUUGACAAGUGCACCGGUAUUGGUGUUGCCAGAGGCAGACCAACCAUAUGUGGUUUACACAGACGCCUCCAUAACCGGAUUAGGAUGUGUAUUAACCCAACAUGGGAAGGUCAUUGCUUAUGCCUCUAGGCAGUUGAGGAAGCAUGAGGGGAACUAUCCAACCCACGACCUUGAGAUGGCCGCAGUGGUGUUCGCCCUCAAGAUAUGGCGAUCAUACUUGUAUGGUGCCAAGGUUCAGAUUUUGACCGACCACAAGAGUCUCAAGUAUAUAUUCACUCAACCUGAGUUGAAUUUGAGGCAAAGGAGAUGGAUGGAGUUCGUGGCCGAUUAUGAUCUGGAUAUUGCUUACCAUCCAGGUAAAGCAAACCUAGUGGCCGAUGCCUUAAGCCGUAGGAGAGCUGAGGUAUCAGCCGAGAGGGAAGCAGAGGUGCUGGAAGGGAUGGUUAGGACAUUGCAUUUAAACACACUGGCCAGCGAGGACGAGCCGUUGGGUUUAGAAGCAGUGAACCAGGCUGAUCUCCUUACCAGGAUCAGGCAAGCACAAAGCUUGGAUGAGAACCUCCAGAAGGUUGCUCUGAAUGAUAAAACCGAGUACCAGGUUGCGAGUGAUGGUACGAUUUUGGUCCAUGGGAGGAUCAGUGUUCCGAAUGUAAGGGAACUAAAGGAAGAGAUUAUGAGUCAGUCUCAUAAGUCUAAGUUCUCUGUGCACCCGGGACUGAACAAGAUGUACAAGGAUAUCAAGAGGUACUAUCAUUGGAUCCGUAUGAAGACGGAUGUGGCCGAGUGGGUGGCUAAGUGUCCUACUUGCCAACUCGUCAAGGCUGAGCACCAAGUACCCAGUGGAUUACUCCAGAAUCUACCUAUUCCAGAAUGGAAGUGGGAUCACAUCACCAUGGACUUUGUGUCAGGUUUUCCCAUGACCAGGAAUAGAAAGGAUUCGGUUUGGGUAGUGGUGGAUCGUCUGACCAAGUCAGCUCUGUUCAUACCAAUCAAGAAGACUGAUGGUGUGGAGCCCUUGGUACAGAUUUACAUGGAUCAGGUGGUACGCCUGCAUGGUGUACCAGCCAGUAUUGUGUCGGAUAGGGACCCUCGGUUCACUUCUUAUUUCUGGAAGGCUUUCCAAAAGGCCUUGGGAACAAGAGUGCACAUGAGCACAGCCUAUCACCCCCAAACGGAUGGUCAGUCUGAAAGAACCAUCCAGACGUUGGAAGACAUGUUAAGGGCUUGUGUCUUGGACUGGGGAAAUUCCUGGGAAAGACACUUGCCAUUGGUAGAGUUUGCUUACAACAACAGCUUCCAUACCAGUAUUGGGAUGUCGCCCUACGAAGCUUUGUACGGACGGCCCUGCAGGACACCAUUAUGCUGGACCCAAGUGGGGGAGCGCAGCAUGAUAGGACCUGAGAUAGUGGAGGAGACCACGGAGAAGAUUAAGUUCAUCCGUGACAAGAUGAAGGAGGCACAGGACCGUCACAAGUCUUAUGCGGAUAAGAGAAGGAAACAUGUUGAGUUUGAGGUGGACGACAUGGUCUACCUCAAGAUGAUUACUUUCAGAGGUCGGAAAAGGGUUUCUGGCCGAGGGAAGUUGGAUCCAAGGUACUUGGGUCCAUUCCGGAUCAUUGAGAGAGUUGGUUCGGUGGCUUACAAGCUUAACCUACCAACUGAGAUGGAAGCAUUUCAUAAUGUAUUCCAUGUGUCUCAAUUGAGAAAAUGUCUUUCAGAUCAAGACAUUGUGAUACCGGAAAUUCCAUCUGAUCUAGGCACGAACCUCACCUUGGAGACAAGGCCGGUUCGGAUUGUAGACAGGAUGGAAAAAGCAAUGAGGAACAAGACCAUUCAAAUGGUCAAAGUCGUGUGGGAAUGCAGUGGGCAAGAACAAGUCACUUGGGAAACCGAGAUGAGAAUGAAAGCUGACUAUCCAGAGUGGUAUGGUCAGUUUAUGAUGGAGACAAGUCUAGACUUGGAUUCGAGGACGAAUCCAUCUCAAGUGGGGGAGACUUGUCAUGUCCCUGAUUCUAGAUAGAGCCUUCGGGCACAGCCAUGGUACGGGGAGACGUGCUAGUCAGGUCGUAAGACCUAAAGACAAGCGUAUCAUGGCUGGAAUGGAUGGUUAAGUGCAUCAGUAUGCUGAGACUUGACCAGAAUCGGAUGGAGACAAGGAAAUAAGAGCUGGAUGAGUUCUAAGGCAGCUGGACGAUGAUGGGAAGCAGCUCAGUCAGCUAGGACAAGCUUAGUGUAGCUCACACUAGCUUGGGUCAGCUCCAGUAGCUGGAUCACUAGCUCCCUCAGCUGGGGAAGCUGGCACUCAGCUCAACUCAGCUGGGUGGAGUGUUAUGGUCCGGGCCAGUGUUGCCGGUCCAUGGGCGGUCAAGGGUCCGGCUGGGUGGUGGCUGAACCACUAAGGGCCUAUGGGUCUUUAUUGGGUCCGUGGGUCUUGGUGGAUGUACUUGGGAUGCAGAUUGAGGCAUUGGGCCUAUUUCCAGACAGCCCACACGCCAAAGGGAGCAGUUGGACGGUUGAUGGGCGAAAAGGUGGGAAUUGGGCAGUUUGUGUCUUUUCCCUUCCAACCGGUUGCAACUGUCCGCCCAGGCAGUUAUUGGCCGACCUUUCUCUAUAAAUACAGACACUUGGGUGUCGAAAAUGGCAUCAAAUUCCUUAGGGAAAACUCUGCCAAAAUCGUGACAGAAAGAAAGAGAGAAAGAGAGAAGAAGGCCGGCCAAACCGAGACUGUGGGUGGUGGUGAUCGGACUCCGACCAGAAGUUGGUCUGUGGGAAGAGGAGAGCAUUCGGUGAUGGCAACCAGAGGCAAGGAGAAGGAUCUGGAGAAGGGCUUGAGCACUCCUGAGCGCACGCCCAAGGUGAGUGGGAUGGACCGAACCAUCCUACCAUGGCCGCGGUGGAAUUCCGUGUAGGCUGUGGUCGGAUUGGUUGGACCAGACCCAUCUCUUCCUUUUCCCUUACUAUUCUACUUCAUCUCUUCUAUGUUCUGAAUGUGUUGGAUGAUUCAGACACGUUCUGACUGAGCCAUGGUCUUGGUCGGUACCCAGAAACCCUCCAUGGCCUUGGUUGGGCUGGUGUGUUGAGAUCUCAUAGUUCCUGAAGGGAUUAUUGGGAUCCGACCAUGGAUUGUUCUUAGUGAUGAUUUAUCAUGAAUUAUCAUGGUUUCUAAUUGGAUUUAUCAGUCCGAUUUGAUGGUGGUCAGUUAUGGCCGGUUUAGUGGAAUUUGGCCGAGUUCUAGGUGAAGGAGGCCGGUUCUGUCUAAUCUGAUUGUGGAUUCUUCUUAGUUGGGAAUUAUCAGUAAUUGUCAUGAAUUUUAUUUAGUUUUUGGAGAUGUAUUAAAAAUGGCCAGAAAUGGGAUUUAGCCUUGGUCGUUUGUGGUUCAGUGUGAUUGAUGGGUUAGAUCACAUUGGAUCAGUCUGGCCGUGUGUUAAAUGAUUGUUUGGGAUGUCUUAGUUGAUGUCCUGAGUAUGGCCGAGUGCUUUGUUGACUGAUCGGUUAGCUUAGAGAACUUAGUUUAAGGGAACCAAACCAUGCAAUGUUAGAUGAGCUUACUAGGGUAUCGGUUUGUUAUGUACUUAUGUUGUUGUGUUGUGUGUGUGUUGUGGUUUCAGGAUCGGACCAGGACCGUGGCAAGGCCAAGGAACCGUGAGGACCUAGCUGUGGAUGGAUGUGUGGGUUAUGGGAUAGUAUUGUAUUAUGACUUAUGACUUAGCCUAUUGUGCAACUGACUGAUUGUAUGGAUCACAUGUUUAUAUUUAUACAAUGAAUGUUUUCUCUUGUCUAUCUGGUCGUGCAUUGAUUGAAUGAACCUCAAGAUUUCGAAAAUGACUUAGUGAAUAUGGAACUUUAAAACUGAUGGAACUUAGAAACAUGGUUUAGGUAAGGCACGGACCUAGUGGGACCUAAGGGUCAGGUUCGGGUCUUACAAAUAUAGCAAGAGAUAGCAACGGAACACAUAGUUUUAAUUUUUGUAGAUAAAUCUGUCGCUAGCUACAAUAAUUCGUAGCUAUAUAGCUAGAGACAAAUUCCGUCGGUAGUCUAUAGCUAAAUAGCUACGUCUUGGCUAAAAAAUAAGUUGUUGCUAUAAUUUUUCUAUUUAGCAAGGACUAACUACAAAUGUCUGUAUUGCUAAAUAGCAACGAUAUCUAUUUAUUGAGGAUCUAAAUGUAUCAGAAGAUAAAUUAUCGAAUUAUGGAGGACACAAAAACAUAAUGUAUGGACACGCACCCGUGUCUUUGGUAACUUUUAUAAAUUAUUUCUUCUUCUUUUUUUUUGUUUUGGUAUUUGCUAUAGUGAUUAACAAAAAUUCUUAUUUAAUCCACAUUGGAUCAAGAACAGGGUCGGAGGGAACGCUCAUAAGGAGUCCUAUUGAAACCAAUAAAUAUUCUCUUUUACGUAAGUAGAGUUUUUAAACAUUUUGAAAUUUCUUUAUAGAAGUGUUACUAAUUAAUUGAUGAUACAUAUAUGCCUAAUUCCUUCUCUAGUUAAACCCAUCUCACUACAAUAGUGAUAGGCACGGCACCCCCGGGUAUCUAGAUCCUGAAUACCAUCCAUCAAUCAAACCAGUACACGGAGAAGAGCGAUGCGUACAGGUGUUGACGGAAUUGGAAUUGAGCUGCUCAUCUCCGGAACAGCCGCAGACCCAUGUAUAUAUGUGAGGAAGAGGAAGCAUACGCAGGAGUAGAACCGAGGAACUACGUCGCUACUAUUUAAACAACUCACUCAUACCUUUGCCUUUACCAUUAUGUUUUGGUGUGUUUUGUCUAGGAGGAUAGUUGGUCUGUAGUUGGGUGCGCGAGCACAGAGCCUACAAACACUAGCUAUCCAAUCACCACUCAUACGCCGCAUGUUCAUUGCCCCGCUAACAUCAAUCUUUCCAACCACUCUUGAGAUGUAAUCAAAAAAGCAACUGGAAGACGGAUGAAACCAGGCCAAGACCACGCAAGCGCGGAAAUUUGAAGUUAGGGGCAAAACGGUCCGCCGGAAAAUUCGCCGGAAAAGUUCCCGGAAAAUUCACCGGGGACAAUCCGGCCAUCGACCUCAACCCAGCCCUCGAUAGUGUUGGACCGAUCAGUCCAACACUACAUACCCGUUCGGAUACUGGGGGUAGGAGGCUCAGAAGAGUGCAUACCCCUUAUAUAGACAAAACGCUUUUUUCAGUCUGUCACCAGUAGACAUUGGUUGUGUUCCGAGAGUCUUUUUAAUGUAAAAAAAAUACUUCGAAUUUGAAUCUGAUUUUUUGCAUGCUUCAUAAGAAUGGUUAAAGCUAUUUUCUGGUAAAUUUUCAUAAAUUUCUUUUGCUUCUAACCAUGUCUUUUGCAUGCUACAAAGGUCGGGGUUUCGUGGUCUAAACGGAUGUCUACAGCAACUUUUGAUCAACACUUGACAUCCUAAACUCUUUGUUGACAUAUUUUUGAUGUUUCAUUUCAGAAAACUUUCUUCAAAAAUAUUAAUUUUUGAAUUUUUGGCUUCUCGGGUGAUUUUGGCUGUCCGUGGGAGAUUUUGGCCCACGUGGGCUGUCUGUUCAGUACACACGGACGUCCGUGUGUGUCCGUCAGCACACACAGGACGUCCGUGGCUGUCUGUCAGGACACACAGGACAUCCGGCUGUCCAUCAGUACACAUAUCAGCACGCUGGCCCUUCCCGUGGACCGUUCGGGUGAUUUUGGCCCACGUGGGCUGUCUGUUCAGUACACACAGGAUGUCCGUGGGUGUCCUUCAGCACACACAGGACGUCUGUGGCUGACAGGAUGUCCGUGGGUGUCCUUCAGCACACACACGACGUCUGUGGACUGUCCAUCAGUACACGUAUCAGCACGCUGGCCCUUCCUGUGGAAUGUUUGGGUGAUUUUGGCCCACGUGGGCUGUCUGUUCAGUACACACAGGACGUCCAUGGCUGUCCGUCAGCACACACAGGACGUCCGUGUACUGUCCGUGUGUGUCCGUCAGCACGCACAGGACGUCCGUGGCCGUCCGUCAGCACACACAGGACGUCCAUGGACUGUCCAUCAGUACACAUAUUAGCACGCUGGCCCUUCUUGUGGACUGUUCGGGUGAUUUUGGCCCACGUGGGCUGUCUGUUCAGUACACACAGUGAUAGAACCAAAAUAAGGAUCACUCUUUCGGUAAGGUUGAUAUGAACUCAGAUCCGAGAGGAUUGAGAACUGAUGGAUCGAGGGGUGACACUAAGGGUUGCGGAUUAUCCCAAAGAUACUACCAGAGAUUCGAAGGUUGCCGGAUGUGACGCACCGGUCCAACACAAUGAAGUGGUUCGCUUGGAGAUGACCUCACCAAGAGAAGUAUGAAUGUUAUAAGCAAAGAACAAUGAGAGUAAAAACUCAAAAGAAUGAAAGCAAAACGAAAUUAUCUUAUUCAGAUCUGAUGGUUACAUUAUAUAGAAGUUCUAGUCAAAAGACUUAAAGAAAAAUGUGGGAAAUCUAAACAUAGAAAAUGAUAAAAUUGACCAGAUCUGGUCAAGGCACGAAAUCACACUUUGACUAGCGAAAACCCCUUCAAAUUCCGUCCAGGUUCAUUGCUUCCUGAAGCAUGUCCUGCGGACUGGGCCAGUACACAAGCAGGACAGUCCAAAGUAGCCAGUUUUGAAGUGUCACGGCCUAUCUUGAGUUCCACUCGUCCGAAUCCAAAUCUGUCUCGACCAUUGCUCUUAAAAUGCCAAUCAGUACAGGAAAUACGAGCUCCAGUUUGGUGAAUUCGAUCGUCUGGACAUGGGUAUUGAUGAAGCCUCAAACUGGACAUCCGGGCGGUACAUGUGGUACUGUCCAGAAAUGUAUAGCAAUGACCUAACUCAGGAUCCGUGCGUCCGAAUGCGAUUCCGUCUCGACUGUUCUUCAUCAAAUGGAAAACAGGACGGUGAAGACAAAGUCCAGUACAGUGAAAUCGAUCAUCUGGCGAUGGUUCCAGCCAAAGCUCCCAUCCGGAUGCAUUUGGGACAGUCCGGUCAGUCUGGCCAGUAUGGUGAAAAUCAUGAACCUCGGUUGAAAACUUCAGAACGUUCUGAACUUCAUGCUGGUUCGGCUCCAUGUACUGAUCCGUGGACCGCGGUCUAUCAUUCCCUCUUUCUUCAAAAGGAUUUGUCCUCAAAUCCAAUGUACAUAUAUCAAAAAGAGAUAAAUCAGAUACAAAGGAAUUAAAAUUCAAGGGAAAUUCAGUAAAUGAAUAGAAUGGACAGAAACUUCCUUGGAGUUUUGAUGUCAUUUUUAUCAAGGAAUUCCAAGUACUUUGGCGUCCAUUGGUGCUUGCUCUCCUUUGAAACUGAGUCAUUUUUAUCAAGGAAUUCCAAGUACUUUGGCGUCCAUUGGUGCUUGCUCUCCUUAGAAACUGAUCAUGCUUAUCCUGUUUAUUCAAAGCAACUAGAGAAACCACAUCAAAUCUGCCAAAGAAAUAAUCAAAGGGUUUCUCUAUCCUUAAGACAUCAAAAUCAGGAUCCAAGCCUUUAGGAUAAUCAUCAAGGACGUGGGCAAGCAUUAAGCAAGCAAGCUGGUUGCCAAAAAUUGAUUUAUCAAUCUCAAAAUAAGGCCAAGGUGAGAAACUGUCAUGGAAAGAAAGAGACAAUGCCAAAUUUGAAAAAUUAUCAUCAUGAACGAAAUCAAAAGAAUUCUUUGGCCUAAGCAAUUUUAGUUCAUGCUUUUUCCUACACCAAAUCUCUUUCAAAGCACAGCUCAGUGAAAUCAAUUCAUGAAAAGGUUUGAGCAAAACGUUUUUCAACCAAGUAAGAAUAUGUUUUCUCUUUGAAAUUCUCGGUUUCAAAACAUUUUCAUGAAGUGUAGAGGCAAUCAACUCAUGAUCCUUAUAGUGCUUUUGGUUUAGACAGGAUAAUGACUGAGGAAACACCUUUGGUUCAUGGAGGAUCGGUUUUGGCUCAGGCCGAUUCUUUCUGGGGCAUGAAUCUCCUUUAGAAAUCUGGUAAUCGCGGAUAGAUGGACUGAAGAACCUCCAGUUUGGAAAAUUUAUAACUUCUUCAUCCGUGAAGAUUUUCAUGCGAUUCCAAACCUCAGUGAAUACCUUUUGAGUUGGCUUUCUGGGAAAAUUGGAUUCAUGACAAAAGGCCUUUGGAAUGUUGAAAUAUCCUCCUUGGACUGAACCUCUGUCGCUGGUAUCAAGGUAGCCGGUUUCAACAAAGCUUCUCCAAAACUCAGACUGUUGGGCACAGUCAAUGCUUUCAAUUCUUAGAGGCUGAACCUGUCUUUCCUGUAUACUCAAAAUAAACACUAAAAGACCAGGAUCAAAUGUGCAAGAUAAAUAUUUGUUCAAAUCACAAAUCAAGAUAUCUUUUCCAAGAACAAAUUGCAUAUUUUUCAGCCUGUCAAGGUGCUCAUCAAAGUAGAUAUUACAGACAAGAAUUUUAUCAAGGUAUGCAACAACAGUAUUCAUUUUCAAGAUGGGCAUAUCCUUCCCAACAUCUGAACACACAAGCUUAAGUUCAGUUUGAGAAUCAUUUAUCAAAAGUUCAAGGUAUUUUUCAAAGAAUGUGUUGUAAACCAAAAUAUCAUCAGAACUCAAGACAACACCAUUAUCACGAAAUGAUCUCAGAAAAUACCAAGUCUUAUCAGUUUCAAAACUUAAGAGAUCAGGCUGCAAAACAGAACCACAAAAUUCAAGAUCACGAAAAUCAUUUUCAGUUUUAAGUGAUUUCUGUUCCAGCAACUUCUGAAUCAAAAUUUCGUCCAAGGCAUAAGAGGAUGCAAACAAUUCAUCAGUGAUCAGUACAUGUCUAGAAGAACUCAGAUCAAAACCAUUUCCUUUGCAAACAAACAAAUCAAGAGAUUUUUCAGCACAAAAAUCAGUUUGUUGCAAAUCAAGAUCAAAUGGCCUUCCAAGAAGAUGAAAACCUUUGUUAUGUUCCAAGAACUGAUCAAAGCUCAAAAUAAUUCCAGAAGUGAUGCCAUUGACAUUUUGAAAACGUGAUUGAUCAAGACAUUUAUCAGGUUCAAAGAUUUUUAAAGAAUUAAUCAUGUUAUCAAAAACAGAUUUUGAAACAAAAAAAAUCUUUCAUCUUGUCAAGACCAAAACGAAUUACAUCAUCAGUACUGACUUUCACAAACAUGUCAGGCAGAGAAUUAAGAGAAGAAGGUUUCUCACAGUGCUCUUGAAGAUCCGGAGGUAAAGGGGCAGGAGUUGUGCCGGGAUCAAAGCAUAGAUAAUUCUCCAUAGCAAUGGAUGUGAUGCUUGUUGCUUCUUCAUCAAAGACUGGACCAGGUUCGUCCUCCUCAUCAAAGAUAGGACCUAGAUCAUCAUCCAAACAUAUCCUAGUGUCAAGACAUGGGCACUGAUGUGGAAAAUCCAGUGGCUCUUCCUCAAAAACCUGUGGAGACAAAACAAGACUACUCGGAAGCUCCGGUUGCAAAACAGUUAGUUCUACAAUAGCUUGUUCAUUAUCAAGAUUAAACUCAGUUUCAAGAGAAGGAAGAUCACAAUCUUUUUCACAAAACAUCAAGCUUUCAAUUAGCUCUUCAUCAGAUUCAUCAAAAAUGGGUAGAUAAUCUGAAAAAUCUUUAAGUUCUUCAAAAUGGUUUUCAGAUUCACCUUGGGCUUUCUUACUGAUGAACAAGGAUGGCUCAGCUACUGGGGCACGUUUAGAUGUGCUCUUCUUUUGGCUCUUGCUGAAGUCCUUAAGGGCUUUGUCCACUCCCUUCACAAGGUUAUCACAAAUUUGUUGGACAUCAAUUUGAAAGGGUUGCCUUUUUGGAUCAGCCACAUCUCUGGUUGUUUUUCUCCUUACAGCUGGCUGUUCCUGCACACUAACAAACUCAUCAAAAUAAUUCAAAGGAUAUGUAAAAGGAGUUUGAGAGUUAGAAUUUCGUUGAGGCUUCUCCUUGUUACUUUUCCUUUGCAAACCAAACAUCAUAAACCUGAAAAAUCUCAACACAAAAGUUAGUAGAUAAAAACCUCACACUCUCAAGUGUUUGAUCCUCACCCACACAAGUGUUUCUCUCAGAUUUAGGUGAUCACACACAAGUUUUUACUCAAUGUUCUAAGAGAACAAAUCAAAGAAUCCCAAUGGGCAAAUCCAAGCAAACAAGGGAAUUUUCUCAAGAUAGAAAGAUAAGAGAUUUUGAUUUUUGAAAUCCGUUUUAACCACCUCAAAGGCUGGAUUUCUCCUCAGCCAGCAGGCUUUCUCUUCCACCACCAAUCCACAAAUCAAACUUUUCGAAUUCUUUUUUCUUCCUUUUUUUUUUAUNNNNNNNNNNNNNNNNNNNNNNNNNNNNNNNNNNNNNNNNNNNNNNNNNNNNUUUUAAAUUUUUCUUUUUUUUUUUUUUUUUUGAAUCAAAUCGUAAAUCUUUUUUUUUUAUUUUUUUUUAUAUAUGGAUGGUAAUGAGGGGCCCGGAUUUAGGAAAGGUAGAAGAAGAAGUGUUUGAAGAAGAUGAAGAAUAUGGAAGAUGAGAUGAAAUGGAUUGAAAAAGAGUUACCGAGAGAGUGGCUCUGAUACCACUUGAUAGAACCAAAAUAAGGAUCACUCUUUCGGUAAGGUUGAUAUGAACUCAGAUCCGAGAGGAUUGAGAACUGAUGGAUCGAGGGGUGACACUAAGGGUUGCGGAUUAUCCCAAAGAUACUACCAGAGAUUCGAAGGUUGCCGGAUGUGACGCACCGGUCCAACACAACGAAGUGGUUCGCUUGGAGAUGACCUCACCAAGAGAAGUAUGAAUGUUAUAAGCAAAGAACAAUGAGAGUAAAAACUCAAAAGAAUGAAAGCAAAACGAAAUUAUCUUAUUCAGAUCUGAUGGUUACAUUAUAUAGAAGUUCUAGUCAAAAGACUUAAAGAAAAAUGUGGGAAAUCUAAACAUAGAAAAUGAUAAAAUUGACCAGAUCUGGUCAAGGCACGAAAUCACACUUUGACUAGCGAAAACCCCUUCAAAUUCCGUCCAGGUUCAUUGCUUCCUGAAGCAUGUCCUGCGGACUGGGCCAGUACACAAGCAGGACAGUCCAAAGUAGCCAGUUUUGAAGUGUCACAGCUUUAUUUCGAAUAGUCAUUUAUCCCAUCGAUCUGAUCCAUAGCUUAUAAAAUAUUCGGUGUCCUGAUAUCUGAAUUUCUUUUUAUUUAAUAUUCGAUUCGAUCAGUAUAAUAUUAAAAAAAUUAAAAUAAAUAAUAAAAAUCCAAAGAUAAUAUGAAAUAUUAAUAUCUACAAAAAAAAUAAAAAGUUACUUACUUUUAAAAACUCUAAUAACUAAAGCAGUCAAUUUAAUAAAUAAAUUAUUGUUUAACUUACAUAAAAUAUAACCAUUAUAUAAUUCAUAUAAAUAAUUUAUUUUAAUAUAUGUAUAUAUAUAUAUAGACGCAUAUAUGAUAUAACAUAUCAUAUUAGAUAUCCACUCUUGAAAAUAUUAAUAUUUUGAUUUGUUUUGUUUUUUACGGAUAUUGUAUAAUAAUAUUUGUUUUGUUUUGUAGAGUAACGGAUAUUCUGAUUUUUUUGUUCAAAUCAAUGAGAAUAAAUAAUCAAAUAAAAUUUUACUGACUUUUUUAGAAUGAAAUUUACAGAUUCUUUGUCGAGCUCUAAUUUGAAUGACAAAUAGCUCACAAAAUCAUAUAUAGUUUGCUUUACUUUUCUUUUACAUUGCUAGUGAAAUGUUUUUUAGACAACAUGAAACAUGCGAGUUUGAACUCAGCUGGUAUACAACAAUGGCGUUAUUAUAAAUCAGUAGGUUAUAUUUAGUGAUCAUAUUGGUAGUGGCAUGCAUGUUUAUUCUUCUAAAAUCUGCUAAAAUAUGUUUAAAACUUAGUAACAAAGCUGUGAAGCUCAUCCAUCUGAGCAUCUCAUUUCCACGUAAACUAGCAUGCUAGCUACUUUUCUUUUUUUAUUCACGAACCUACGCUCCUUUGAUCCUUUCUAUUGUCUGUGCAUUCGUAUUCAUUCAGGGUUUUUUUUUUAACUGAGUAUUCAUUCAGGGUUGAGUGAUAUUGUUUAAUUAUUCGACCUUAGUCUCUACCUCCACCGUGAACCGACCAGCCCCUUGAAUUCCCAUCCACCAUGCAGAUCACUUUUAUUCGGAUUCUAUUGACGCUGAUUUUUAGCGUGUAGCAAACUAUGCAGGAUCCACAAUCCAAGACUGUGUAUGGGAUGACAUUCAAGAUCGACUGGAUAUAUAGUCUUCACUCGAUCAAAAAUAUUGUGUGGACCAUCAUGAAUCAAAUUAUUGACUCUAACACUGCUGGACUCAAGAUUGAGUUCCAAUAGUUUCGGCGGGCCUACUUAAUUAAUAGUCAGCUGGUCUAUUGAGUUCCAAUAGUUUCGGCGGGCCUACUUAAUUAAUAGUCAGUCCAAGAGCUUAAGGGCCCUCUUUGCUAAUUAAAUUCUUGUUGGCAUUUCUAACUAGAAAAGUGGUUCGUCCGUAAUUUACUGGUUUUCCAUUAAAUGAAAACAAGCACGUAGGUGAUAGUUAAUGUGCUGUUUUAUAACUUAUCACGUGAGAUCAUGCAAUCUUUCAUACCCGCCAAACGAAAGUUAAUUAUCAACCAAGCGGGGGAGACUUCAACCAGAUUGCUCACUUUGCAGAAGCUUUUUCGUCAUUCCAAUCAAACCAGGAUGAAGCUCAUUUGUUAAGUUCAGGAACAAUAUUUGCAUUAACAGCUGGACAGCUAAAACUCUAUCAUUUGCGGGCAGACUACUCCUCAUCAACACUGUUAUAGCGGGCAUAGAGCUUUGACAAGCUUGACGUAAUCGGGCUGGUUGCAGUCUUCAGCCAAGACACAGAGCUGAGCAACACGCUUCUCGAUAAGCUUGGCGCUUUCAUGGAGACCACGAGUCACACCACCGUGAGCACGGGCUUUCCUUAGAGUCAGCUCCAAUGCAGUCAACAGAUCCAUGUCCUCUGGAAUUGCAGCUGACUCAGCAGCAGGAGGAACAACAACAGCAGGAGCAGCUUCUUCCCUGAAGUAAAAGAGGAGAGACAAUAAGACUAGACCACACAAACAUAGGCUUGCGGAAAUUAACCGAAUCGAACCAAAUAGUAUCAAUAUGUUCUCAAAUUUCGUUUAUACCGUCAUUACACCGAUAAACGAAGCGUCGACCUUUUUUGAGAACAUCCUUGAUCUCGAUAAACUCCGAAUCAACGAACCAUUUAUAUUUUUGUGAAAUAUUGUCAACUUUUUCAGCUAAUUAAAUUUCGUUUAUACGCUGCAUUCACCGCUACACAUGGGCUAUCUGACACCUUCUAUGUUUUCAUUUAUCAAAAAAGUAAGUAGAUAUAUCAUAUAUUAUAACAAGGUCUCUUAUACCAAAAGCCUGCCAUAACUUUAUAGCCUCUCAGAUUUAUCAUGUGUGUUCUUACUAAAAGGGUUCUCGAAACAUUUUAGUUUUUACCCGCCAAAGCAAAUAUAAAACAGUUAACAGCCUAAUGCAAGUUGACCACUAAAGAAGACUAAGCACUUUCUUAUUUAGAAAAGUGUCUUGUGCUUCAUAUUAGGUUUUUUUUUUUAAUUAUAGUAUAUAUUGAAACCCUAUUUAUGUACUAACCAAUUUUUUGUAGUCCUUGCUUGUUUCCAUCGAAGUUAUCCUUAGAAGUUCUUUGACGAUCUGCCACCUGUAAGUUUUUUUAUAUCAAUUUACUUUUUUUUGUUUUCAUAAUAUACGUGAAGGACAAAUGAUUUACCAGUACUGUGGAGGGUAAAUGUUGAGGUUGCUCUGCUUAGUCAGCCUUCGUUCUUGUGAAUCGCCAGUGUACAGAUUAAGAAAUCUAGUACUUGUUAUCAUUGAUCUUCGUCCUUCUCAGUGAGAAACUCCAUUGAAACUUUAGAGCGUUCCGAGAAUGGUUCUUGACUAUUUUAAACCAAAAUAACGUUUAGGGAAUCACCUGAUUUGAAAGUGGGACCCCCGAGUUCGGGACGAAGAUCAACUUGCAUUACACAUAUAUAUGCAUGAUUCUCACAAAGAGAUUCAUCCUGGUUUGACACUUUUCGUGCCGGGGUUUGGUGAUAUCCGGAAGCUAUGCGUACGAUCCAACCAAAACUGAAGUCUUGGCCAAGGAUGAACGCAUAACCACGGAAUCAGCAGGCACAGUAAGAAACCGGCCUACCGAGAGUGAUGUUUCAUCGUUCUCAGGUCGUUCUGUUUCCAGGGUACGACAAUGAUCCUUCCGCAGGUUCACCUACGGAAACCUUGUUACGACUUCUCCUUCCUCUAAAUGAUAAGGUUUAGUGGACUUCUCGCGACGUCGCAGACGGCGAACCACCCACGUCGCCGCGAUCCGAACACUUCACCGGAUCAUUCAAUCGGUAGGAGCGACGGGCGGUGUGUACAAAGGGCAGGGACGUAGUCAACGCGAGCUGAUGACUCGCGCUUACUAGGAAUUCCUCGUUGAAGACCAACAAUUGCAAUGAUCUAUCCCCAUCACGAUGAAAUUUCAAAGAUUACCCGGGCCUGUCGGCCAAGGUGUGAACUCGUUGAAUACAUCAGUGUAGCGCGCGUGCGGCCCAGAACAUCUAAGGGCAUCACAGACCUGUUAUUGCCUCAAACUACUCCUACCAAAAAUAGUAAUUCAACGAGGUGCCGGGGUUUGGAAUUUUAAACUUUAUAAACAGAAUGUGGAACCAUUUGUUAAAGAGAGUAAAUGUCAAUCUGUGAUUAGUUAUAAAACAGUUCUGACUCUCUUUUCAAAGCAUACAUUAAUGGAAAUUCAUAAUAUAUUUAAGAAGGGCUACGUCGGAUUGAUCCUGGUUUUUUCAUCAGACAAGGCACCUUUUAUCUUUCAUUAGAAUCCAAUUCAAAAACGGAAACACACAUUCAUGGUUUGGCUAGCAAAGAAAUCUCAAUCUCUUGAAGUGUUUUUCCUUUGGUCUCGAUCACGUUCCGCUUCACGAACAUCACUGCCAUCAAACAGAACGUUGAGAACAAAGGUUCUAACAUCAAGUUAAAUAUUAAAUAGGUAGAGUGAUCUUGGGACGCCGACAAGUUAUCGAUGAAUCAUGAAGGCAGGAAGGACGAAGAAGCUGUGCUCGGUGAUAUUGACGUGGAGGUUAACCUUAAGAAACCAUUGAAGGGUUCGAUUAUGGUUAAUGGUGCAAGAUUCUAUGAAGGUAAACCAUUAACUUUUCCUCUAUGAAUUCCUUAGACUCAAGUGGUUUGAUUGGAAGGACGAAGAAGCUGUGCUAUUCCCAAUACAAUGAUUGUAUACGUGUGUGGAAGAGAUAGUAAAUGUAUGAAGCUGAAUAAAUUUCCACGUUGGAAGGAAGUUGAAGAUGGAGUUGGCCGAUUAAUCUUAUCACUACACCAAGAAUUUAUUUAAUAAUCGGCCGCCUAAUCGGUAAAUAGGCCGAUUAAUCGGUUAUUGGGCCGAUUAAUUGGUGACCGAUUUUCUGGUCCGAUUAUGGUAAACUCGGGGCGGUUAGUCUCCGUCCAGCGCCUGGGCGGACGCCUAGGCGGCUAGGUGCCGUGGCUAGGUGCCCGCGUUUUAGAACAGGGGAAGAAACAUAUCUUAAUUAGGGAAAAUAAGAAACGCGUCUUCUGAGACACGGGUUGUCUUUUGGUUGUUCUUGUGUGUUCUCUCUCCACGGAAGCAAAUCACCUCAUCUCUCUAUCUCCCCUCGACGGCAGCAAACCCGUCGACGGAAGCAAACCCAUGACUCUAUCGAUCGUAAUCGAACGGGUUUACUGUUAGAGAAAAAGGGCGUAUGUUUAAUGACGUAUAUUAAUACAUCCAUUUGUAUAUGGAAAUUUGAUUAUGCGUUCUGCUUUGUUUCAUCCCUUCAGUACGCUUGAAAAUAAUAUGAUGUUCCUAAUAUUUCCGUUAUAGAUUUUAUAUAAACGGUAGUUUUAAUAUACCGAUCCCGCUUUUUGUUGUAACGCGAUUAGUAUAUACAUCUUAGGAAGCUUCUCUUCGAUAGCCACUCACUAGCGAAGUGUCAUUUUGAUUUCCCAACUCCUUGCUUCCUGUGUUCCAGCGACCUUCUCCGUCGACCACUAGAGUUCCAUGGUAUCACGGUAACGCAUUCUACGCGGCGGAACGUGCCUCGCAUGGUAUACCCCCAAAUGAAUUCCACAUAAUGGAUCAUCUAAGUUCAUCCGUCAUACAAUAUGUCAUAAAACAAUAUUUUUGUAGGGGUUAGCCCAUAGAUUUUGAGAAAAUUUCAAAAAAUAUGACAAUAUUGUUUUAGUGCCUAGUUGCAUCCUGCACUAACAUUUUUGGCUGGAACAGUCCAUCAUCUAUAUUUACAUUUGUUGUAACGCGAUUAGUAUAUACAACGAAAAUCAAACUUUAGUUUUACCGAAACAAUUAAACUUCUAUAUUGUAAGGUGACAAAUUUAAUUUGUUUACGUAAUUAAACUACUAAAUAUGCCCACACAAUUUAUACAUGAAGCAAAUCGUUCUUUUGUGGAUUGUUGCGGUGAUGCAUGAACAAAUUGUCUGCUCCAUUGGCUGUCUGAAGUAUAUCUGGGACACUUUCCCCAUUUAUUGUUGUUAGUAGCAAAAAACACAGAGGUGAUUCAUCAUGGUUCAUGGGCAUCGUUUAAAUGUUCAUUCGGAAGUUUAGAUAAUAAUAAUGUAGAGAGAUGUCACACUAUUUUGGAUACAUAAGUAAUAUGACAAUAUUGUUUCACUUUCAAAUCAGGUGGUUCCAGUUUCCCAGUUUGGUAAUAGGACAGCUUCUUCGUCGUUCCAAUCAUGAUGAGUAACCAAGCUCCCCAACUCAUUAUGUCGCCAUAAUGAGUAACCAAGCUCCCCAACUCCAUCCUUAUGUAUUGCUUAACGUCCUCAAAUUCUAAAUGAGACGUUACACUAGAUCUUCCCUGUUGCGCUACAUUGAUGAAAUUCAUUUAUCACAACCAAUUCGUUUUUGGGCCUAAUUCUCGUAAGCUCAAUUCAAUGUCAGAUGCCUUCACAUAGUUCAUCCGUCUGUGUAAUUUCUUAAGAUCGAAUUAAAGCAAGCAGUUAUGAAUCGAAUUAAUCCUAUACUCAUCCAUAACACUAUCACGUGUAAGAAGUAAUUAAUAACAUACUUACACCUUAAUAUUACCAAUGCCAAUGGUCAAGACUCCAAAACUUAAAAGAGUCUUGAGGAUGUUAUUAUUUGUUUAUCAAAAAACAAAUAACAUUAGAUUUAGUUAAGAUUUACAAAUCCACUAAAAUACAAAAACUAAAUUAUCCUCAUGUAUUAAUGUUAAGACCAAACAAAAAAACAUUUGGAACUGGUGAUUUGUCCGAAAAGAGUUACCUUAAAAAUAACUUUGACCAUUAAUUACAAUUAGUUAGCGUGGGAAGAGACAAUUAGUUAUUAUUAACUAAACAAUAUAUUUUCAUUUUGGAAAAAGACUAGAUGCAAUAGUUAGGUUUGUUUUUUAACAUAUUGAAAUUCAUUCACAAUACGAAGAAAACAUGUUAAACAUCCACAUCGCCAACGGAAAAGACCGGAUGCAAUAGCUUGGUUUGUUUUCAACAUACUGAAAUUCAUUCACAAUACGAAAAAAACAUGUUAAACACUCGCCUCUAACGAACUUUUUCCAAAAUGAAAAUAAAUUGUUUAGUCAAUAUCACCAGUUCCAAAUGUAAAUUAGUCAAUGAUUACCUUAAAAAUAUCGGUCUCGAGAAGAUAUCAUGAUCGACCAACACCCGUUCCAAUCAUGAUGAGUACUCAUCGGGUGACAUGAAACAUAUUCUGAAAAUAGUAAAAACUUCAGAUUUUGAUUUUUUUAUUGUUUAAGUAGACUGUCUGAACAAACUUAUUUGAAAGUUUUAUAAUAGAGAUUUGAAAGCAUUACUUACUGAGUGCCAUGUAUGCUGGCCCUUCCCGUGGACUGUCCGUGUACUAUCUCCGGCAGGUGAGUCCGGUGGAUAAUCCUGCAGUUAUAUGCCAAAGUAUAAUAUUUGCUAAAACAAGAAAGUAUGAAAUUUAUGAUUGGCUCUGCGGGUAAAUGAAAACACUUGGUCUCGAUCAAUGGUAGCAAUUUACUGAAAACAUAAUCAGCCUUUCUGAAAGGUUCAUAUCCACUGGAAUAUAAGGUAUGCAAGCUAUAAAUGAGCACACGGCGACAUGCUUUCGCGGAUAUGGCCCUUUCGGAGGAGGUCCUCGACCUGGCGCCGGAUUUGUACCUGGUUCUUCAUCCCACUCCUAUGAGAUUUAUUCAACUUCCUGGCGAUUAUCCACCACUUUAUGUAUCCAAAUCAAGCUUGCUCGUUGUGAUUCCAUAUGUCAAUGCCUCCGGCGCUGUUACUUUGGACCAAUUUUAAAUCAAUUCAAACCAGGAAUGAUACACUGGUUAUCAUUUGAAAGUGGGCUAAUUUCUGUCGCCCAUAGUGUAAUCUAAAUAUUUAUGAUCUCGGGUUAAGCUUACACAUUUGAUUAAAUAAUAAUUUAAUUCAUUAAGGGUUAACACUCUUUAAAGUUUGCUGGUCGGCAGACCAACAGGCUUGGCCCUAGACCUCUUCUCCACAACACGUGAUAGUUCCUUCACAGCUUCUUUCGCCAAAUGGCGAGGCUUGCUAAGCCACAAUCCUCCAUCUACCACCAUUGUUAAACCGUUGACAUACUUCCCUGUACUUAUCAAUAAAAAAUUUGAAAGUGGGACCUUUUAUUGUUGGAGACGAAUUUAGUGAGGGCAGCAUGCUGAACAAAAACGUGAAAGUAAUCUUAAUUUCUUCAUCCCAGCUCCUAUGAGAUUUAUUCAACUUCCUGAUGAUUCUCCACCACUUUAUGUAUCCAAAUAAAGCUUCUCACAAAGAGAUUCAUCCUGGUUUGAUUGGAAGGACGAAGAAGCUGUGCUAUUCCCAAACUGGGAAACUAGAAUCACCUGAUUUGAAAGUGGGAUAACUUCUUCAUAAAAUGAGCUUUAAACAAUAUUGAAUUCAUAGAAGCAAUCCAAUUUACAUCAAAUCUAAAUAUUUUAGAGUUGUGGCUUGGUUUGUUUUAAAUUGCCGUUUGGAUUUACCGCCGACAUGUCAUCAAAAACAUAUCUUAGCCAUACAUUGGAAUUUCAAACGUAUUAUAAUUAUUGGCUAUAAAAUAUUUCCAUGAAUUUAAUUCCAAAAAGUUAUAGGACAUCAUAUAUUUUCAAAAUACACUAAGUUGGAUUAAACAAUAUUGUCAUAUUAAAAGGUUAAGAAACUUGUUGACAUUUUGUUUUAUCAAGUUUACUUAUGUAUCCAAAAUAGUGUGACAUCCUAGUUCGAUUGGAUCAGAUUUUAGAAAGUGGGAUAACUUCUUCAUCCCAACUCCUAUGAGAUUUAUUCAACUUCCUGGUGAUUCUCCAACACUUUAUGUAUCCAAAUCAAGCUUCUUACAAAGUGAUUCAUCCUGGUUUGAUUGGAACGACGAAGAAGCUGUCCUAUUCCCAAACUGGGAAACUGGAAUCACCUGAUUAGAAAGUGGGAUAACUUCUUCAUCCCAACUCCUAUGAGAUAUUCUCUUCCCUGUAGACAAGCAGUAGAAGGGCUACGUCGGAUGAGUGUCAAACAUAUUGUUAAAAUAUAUCCAAUGAGAGAUAAAUGAAAAGUAAGAAGCUCAUCAGGAAGUUGAAUAAAUCUCCGGACUGAGAUAAAUGAAAAGUUAAUGGUUUACCUUUCUCUUUUCUCUAUUAAUAUGUGUAACCAAGCUUGCAGUGUAGAACCAGGUACAAAGUCUAUUUGGUGCUCAAUCCACUUGAUUCUGAAUUUGAGCAUGGAUGGACCUUCCUUGCAGUGCCAAUAAGACUUUAUAGUGCUAUCCCAAUAAUUGUUUCGGUAAAACAACGAAACAGUAGUGGUAUUUCACUUGGUAAACUAAGUAUCAAUAUUCUAUUACACUUCGAAUGCUAUCCCACCUUCUUUUCCAAAAUAUAUAAUCCCGAAGUUAACAAUAAAUUAUGUUUGAUAUCCCAGGCGGUUGGAUUCUCUGACGUCAUCGUUAAUACGCUAUUGGAGCUGGAAUUACCGCCGACGGAUUAUUGGCAUCCGUUCGUUGUUUUUAUCCCACUUUUUGUAAUGGUGCAAUUAUUUUUUUUUAGAUUAAUUGUAACCAGACUCUAUCACACUAAUCUCCCUAAAUUAGUGGUCAAAGACUCACCAGACGCGUGGGCGACGUAAUCGUCAAAGUACGGAACUCUGAGACCGUUAGUCAACGAAGACAGGUCAAGACUCUUGUGAGCGAGAUCAUCAUUCACGUAAAGAUUGAACACUAGCGUGUUCAUCGUCGCUUGACUCACGAUAUCGCAGAAGUGAACACGAACGAAGUAUCUAUCUUCAGCAAGGUUAGAGGCAUAAAUAGCUGUGUAGACGAAUCUGAUAGUUCCUACCACUUUGAUUUCGCACGUGAGCGACUGUUACUCAUUAUGGUCCUUUCGGAGGAGGUCCUCAACCCGAAAAUCCGAAACUUCUAAUAUUAUAUAUAUAUGGGUGUUUCAGUUUAUUUUUGGUAUUAUAGGUAUUUUUUUAAGUUUCAAAUUUUUAUUUUUGGGUAUAGUUUUGGGUUUCGAUAAAAAACUAGAUUUUCAAAAAUAUAAUUAGGAUAAUCGGAUAAAAUUUUGGAUAUUUUUAUGUCUUUGGAUCAGAUUUUAGAUAAAAUUUAUCAUAUUUUCGAGUAUUUAAAUAUAUUCAAGUAUUUUCUAUGUAUCAUGCUUUUAAUUUAUGACAAUUUAUAAGUUUAUUUUUAAUGCAGUGUAAAAUCACUGAUCCAAAAGUAACGUGAGGUUAAACUGGAAUCACCUGAUUAGAAAGUGGGAUAACUUCUUCAUCCCAACUCCUAUGAGAUUUAUUCAACUUCCUGGUGAUUCUCCAACACUUUAUGUAUCCAAAUCAAGCUUCUUACAAAGUGAUUCAUCCUGGUUUGAUUGGAACGACGAAGAUGCUGUCCUAUUCCCAAAGUGGGAAACUGGAAUCACCUGAUUAGAAAGUGGGAUAACUUCUUCAUCCCAACUCCUAUGAGAUAUUCUCUUCCCUGUAGACAAGCAGUAGAAGGGCUACGUCGGAUGAGUGUCAAACAUAUUGUUAAAAUAUAUCCAAUGAGAGAUAAAUGAAAAGUAAGAAGCUCAUCAGGAAGUUGAAUAAAUCUCCGGACUGAGAUAAAUGAAAAGUUAAUGGUUUACCUUUCUCUUUUCUCUAUUAAUAUGUGUAACCAAGCUUGCAGUGUAGAACCAGGUACAAAGUCUAUUUGGUGCUCAAUCCACUUGAUUCUGAAUUUGAGCAUGGAUGGACCUUCCUUGCAGUGCCAAUAAGACUUUAUAGUGCUAUCCCAAUAAUUGUUUCGGUAAAACAACGAAACAGUAGUGGUAUUUCACUUGGUAAACUAAGUAUCAAUAUUCUAUUACACUUCGAAUGCUAUCCCACCUUCUUUUCCAAAAUAUAUAAUCCCGAAGUUAACAAUAAAUUAUGUUUGAUAUCCCAGGCGGUUGGAUUCUCUGACGUCAUCGUUAAUACGCUAUUGGAGCUGGAAUUACCGCCGACGGAUUAUUGGCAUCCGUUCGUUGUUUUUAUCCCACUUUUUGUAAUGGUGCAAUUAUUUUUUUUUAGAUUAAUUGUAACCAGACUCUAUCACACUAAUCUCCCUAAAUUAGUGGUCAAAGACUCACCAGACGCGUGGGCAACGUAAUCGUCAAAGUACGGAACUCUGAGACCGUUAGUCAACGAAGACAGGUCAAGACUCUUGUGAGCGAGAUCAUCAUUCACGUAAAGAUUGAACACUAGCGUGUUCAUCAUCGCUUGACUCACGAUAUCGCAGAAAUGAACACGAACUGAGAUAACUUCUUCAUCCCAACUCCUAUGAGAUUUAUUUAAUUUCCUGGUCAUUAUACACCACUUUAUGUAUCCAAAUCAAGCUUCUUACAAAUUGAUUCAUCCUGGUUUGAUUGUAACGACGAAGAAGCUGUCCUAUUCCCAAACUGGAAAACUGGAAUCACCUGAUUUGAAAGUGGGAUAACUUAUUCAUCCCAACUCCUAUGAGAUUUAUUCAACUUGCUGGUGAUUCUCCACCACUUUAUGUAUCCAAAUCAAGCUUCCUACAAAGUGACUCAUCCUGCUUUGAUUGGAACGACGAAGAAGAUGUCCUAUUCCCAAACUGGAAAACUCUUCUUUCAAAGUGAUUCAUCCUGCUUUGAUUGGAAUGACAAAGAAGCUAUCCUAUUCCCAAACUGGGAAACUGGAAUCACCUGAUUUGAAAGUGAGAUAACUUCUUCAUCCCAACUCCUAUGAGAUUUAUUCAACUUCCUGGUCAUUCUCCACCAUUUUAUGUAUCCAAAUCAAGCUUCUUCCAAAGUGAUUCAUCCCGCUUUGAUUGGAACAACGAAGAAGUUGUCCUAUUCCCAAACUGGGAAACUGGAAUCAUCUGAUUUGAAAGUGGAAUAACUUCUUCAUCCCAAAUCCUAUGAGAUUUAUUCAACUUCUUGGUCAUUCUCCACCACUUUAUGUCUCCAAAUCAAGCUUCUUACAUAGUGAUUCAUCCUGCUUUGAUUGGAACGACGAAGAAGCUAUCCUAUUCCAAAACUGGGAAACUAAAAUCACCUGAUUUGAAAGUGGGAUAGCUUCUUCAUCCCAACUCCUAUGAGAUUUAUUCAACUUCCUGGUCAUUCUCCACCACUUAAUGUAUCCAAAUCAAGCUUCUUACAAAGUGAUUCAUCCUGGUUUGAUUGGAAAGACGAAGAAGCUGUCCUAUUCCCAAACUGGGAAACUGGAAUCACCUGAUUUGAAAGUGGGAUAACUUCUUCAUCCCAACUCCUAUGAGAUUUAUUCAACUUGCUGGUGAUUCUCCAACACUUAUAUAUCCAAAUCAAGGUUCUUUCAAAGUGAUUCAUCCUGCUUUGAUAGGAAUGACAAAGAAGCUAUCAUAUUCCCAAACUGGGAAACUGGAAUCACCUGAAGUGAGAUAACUUCUUCAUCCCAACUCCUAUGAGAUUUAUUCAACUUCCUGGUGAUUCUUCACCACUUUAUGUAUCCAAAUCAAGCUUCUUACAAAGUGAUUCAUCCUACUUUGAUUGAAACGACGAAGAAGUUGUCCUAUUCCCAAACUGGGAAACUGGAAUCACCUAAUUUGAAAGUGGGAUACCUUCUUCAUCCCAACUCCUAUGAGAUUUAUUCAACUUCCUAGUCAUUCCCCACCACUUAAUGUAUCCAAAUCAAGCUUCUUACAAAGUUAUUCAUCCUGGUUUGAUUGGAACGACGAAGAAGAUGUUCUAUUCCCAAACUGGGAAACUGGAAUCACAUGAUUUAAAAGUGGAAUAACUUCUUCAUCCCAACUCCUAUGAAAUUUAUUCAACUUCCUGGUCAUUCUCCACCACUUUAUUUAUCAAAAUCAUGCUUCUUACAAAGUGUUUCAUCCUUCUUUGAUUGUAACGACGAAGAAGCUGUCCUAUUCCCAAACUGGGAAACUGGAAUCACCUGAUUUGAAAGUGAGAUAACUUCUUCAUCCCAAAUCCUAUGAGAUUUAUUCAACUUCCUCGUGAUUCUCCACCACUUUAUGUAUCCAAAUCAAGCUUCUUACAAAGUGAUUCAUCCUGCUUUGAUUGAAACGACGAAGAAGUUGUCCUAUUCCCAAACUGGGAAACUGGAAUCACCUAAUUUGAAAGUGGGAUACCUUCUUCAUCCCAACUCCUAUGAGAUUUAUUCAACUUCCUAGUCAUUCCCCACCACUUAAUGUAUCCAAAUCAAGCUUCUUACAAAGUAAUUCAUCCUGGUUUGAUUGGAACGACGAAGAAGAUGUUCUAUUCCCAAACUGGGAAACUGGAAUCACAUGAUUUAAAAGUGGAAUAACUUCUUCAUCCCAACUCCUAUGAAAUUUAUUCAACUUCCUGGUCAUUCUCCACCACUUUAUUUAUCAAAAUCAUGCUUCUUACAAAGUGUUUCAUCCUUCUUUGAUUGUAACGACGAAGAAGCUGUCCUAUUCCCAAACUGGGAAACUGGAAUCACCUGAUUUGAAAGUGAGAUAACUUCUUCAUCCCAAAUCCUAUGAGAUUUAUUCAACUUCCUCGUGAUUCUCCACCACUUUAUGUAUCCAAAUCAAGCUUCUUACAAAGUGAUUCAUCCUGCUUUGAUUGGAACGACAAAGAAGAUGAUCUAUUCCCAAACUGGGAAACUAGAAUCACCUGAUUUUAAAGUGGAAUAACUUCUUCAUCUCAACUCCUAUGAGAUUUAUUCAACUUCCUGGUGAUUCUCCAACACUUUAUGUAUCCAAACGAAGCUUCUUACAAAGUGAUUCAUCUUGAAUUGAUUGGAACGACGAAGAUGCUGUCCUAUUCCCAAACUGGGAAACUGGAAUCACAUUAUUUGAAAGUGGGAUAACUUCUUCAUCCCAACUCCAAUGAGAUUUAUUCAACUUCCUAGUCAUUCCCCACCACUUAAUGUAUCCAAAUCAAGCUUCUUACAAAGUAAUUCAUCCUGGUUUGAUUGGAACGACGAAGAAGAUGUUCUAUUCCCAAACUGGGAAACUGGAAUCACAUGAUUUAAAAGUGGAAUAACUUCUUCAUCUAAACUUCUAUGAGAUUUAUUCAACUUUCUGGUGAUUCUCCAACACUUUAUGUAUCCAAAUCAGGUUUCUUACAAAGUGAUUCAUCCUGAUUUGAUUGGAACGACGAAGAAGCUGUCCUAUUCCCAAACUGGGAAACUGGAAUCACCUGAUUUGAAAGUGAGAUAACUUCUUCAUCCCAACUCCUAUUAGAUUUAUUCAUCUUACUGGUUAUUCUCCACCACUUUAUGUAUCCAAAUCAAGCGUCCUACAAAGUGACUCAUCCUGCUUUGAUUGGAACGACGAAGAAGAUGUCUUAUUCCCAAACUGGAAAACUCGAAUCACCUGAUUUGAAAGUGGGAUAACUUCUUCAUUCCAACUCCUAUGAGAUUUAUUCAACUUCUUGGUGAUUCUACACCAUUUUAUGUAUCCAAAUCAAGCUUCUUCCAAAGUGAUUCAUCCCGCUUUGAUUGGAACGACGAAGAAGUUGUCCUAUUCCCAAGCUGGGAAACUGGAAUCAUCUGAUUUAAAAGUGGAAUAACUUCUUCAUCCCAACUCCUAUAAGAUUUAUUCAACUUCCUGUUCAUUCUUCACCACUUUAUGUAUCCAAAUCAAGCUUCUUACAAAGUGAUUCAUCCUGCUUUGAUUGGAACGACGAAGAAGUUGUCCUAUUCCCAAACUGGGAAACUGGAAUCACCUGAUUUGAAAGUGGGAUAACUUAUUCAUCCCAACUCCUAUGAGAUUUAUUCAACUUGCUGGUGUUUCUCCACCACUUAAUGUAUCCAAAUCAAGCUUCUUACAAAGUGACUCACCCUCCUUUGAUUGGAAUGACAAAGAAGAUGUCCUAUUCCCAAACUGGGAAACUGGAAUCACCUGAUUUGAAAGUGGGAUAACUUCUUCAUCCCAACUCCUAUGAGAUUUAUUCAACUUCCUGUUCAUUCUCCACCACUUUAUGUCUCCAAAUCAAGCUUCUUACAAAGUGAUUCAUCCUGCUUUGAUAGGAACGACGAAGAAGCUAUCCUAUUCCAAAACUGGGAAACUAAAAUCACCUGAUUCGAAAUUGGGAUAGCUUCUUCAUCCCAACUCCUAUGAGAUUUAUUCAACUUCCUGGUCAUUCUCCACCACUUAAUGUAUCCAAAUCAAGCUUCUUACAAAGUGAUUCAUCCUGGUUUGAUUGGAACGACGAAGAAGAUGUUCUAUUCCCAAAGUGGGAAACUGGAAUCACCUGAUUUAAAAGUGGAAUAACUUUUUCAUCCCAACUCCUAUGGGAUUUAUUCAACUUCCUGGUCAUUCUUCACCACUUUAUGUAUCCAAAUCAAGUUCUUACAAAGUGAUUCAUCCUGCUUUGAUUGGAACAACGAAGAAGUUGUCCUAUUCCCAACAUGAUUUGAAAGUGAGAUAACUUCUUCAUCCCAACUCCUAUGAGAUUUAUUCAACUUCCUGGUCAUUCUCCACCACUUAAUGUAUCCAAAUCAAGCUUCUUUCAAAGUGAUUCAUCCUGGUUUGAUUGGAACGACGAAGAAGAUGUUCUAUUCCCAAA
rnacentral:lncRNA from 1 species